rnacentral:rRNA from 1 species
UACGUAGGUCCCGAGCGUUAUCCGGAUUUAUUGGGCGUAAAGCGAGCGCAGGUGGUUUAUUAAGUCUGGUGUAAAAGGCAGUGGCUCAACCAUUGUAUGCAUUGGAAACUGGUAGACUUGAGUGCAGGAGAGGAGAGUGGAAUUCCAUGUGUAGCGGUGAAAUGCGUAGAUAUAUGGAGGAACACCGGUGGCGAAAGCGGCUCUCUGGCCAGUAACUGACACUGAGGCUCGAAAGCGUGGGGAGCAAACAGG